UCCCUGGUGGCUCAGUGGUAAAGUAUCUGCCUGCCAGUGCAGGAGACACGGGUUCGAUCCCUGCUCUGGGAA
rnacentral:tRNA from 1 species